rnacentral:tRNA from 1 species
GAACGUAUAGCUCAGUGGUAGAGCGUGUGCUUAGCAUGCAUGAGGUCCUGGGUUCAAUCCCCAGUACCUCCA